rnacentral:rRNA from 1 species
UGCUCGGAAUCACUGGGCGUAAAGCGCACGUAGGCGGCUUUUUAAGUCAGGGGUGAAAUCCUGGAGCUCAACUCCAGAACUGCCUUUGAUACUGAGAAGCUUGAGUCCGGGAGAGGUGAGUGGAACUGCGAGUGUAGAGGUGAAAUUCGUAGAUAUUCGCAAGAACACCAGUGGCGAAGGCGGCUCACUGGCCCGGUACUGACGCUGAGGUGCGAAAGCGUGGGGAGCAAACAGG